rnacentral:tRNA from 1 species
GGGGUUGUGGCUCAGAGGUAGAGCACUCGCCUACCAUGUGUGAGGCACUGGGUUCGAUCCUUAGCACCA